AUCCUGGCUCAGGGAUGAACGCUAGCGGCAGGGCUUUAACGACAUGGCAAGUCGAGGGGCAGCGAGGGUAGCAAUACCUGUCGGCGACCGGCGGAAGGGUGCGUAACGCGUGAGCAACUUGCCCGUAUCUGGGGGAUAGUCAUUGGAAACGAUGCGUAAUACCCCAUAACAACAGAGGCUGCAUGACCUUUGUUUGAAAGCUUUUUGUGGAUACGGAUAGGCUCGCGAGACAUUAGCUAGUUGGUGGGGUAACGGCCCACCAAGGCGACGAUGUCUAGGGGUUCUGAGAGAAGGUCCCCACAUUGGAACUGAGACACGGUCCAAACUCCUACGGAGGCAGCAGUGAGGAAUAUUGGUCAAUGGCCGGAAGGCUGAACCAGCCAUGCCGCGUGCAGGAAUAAGGCCCUAUGGGUCGUAAACUGCUUUUGUGGUGGAGCAAUAAGGCGUACGUGUACGUCGAUGAGAGUACAUCACGAAUAAGCAUCGGCUAACUCCGUGCC
rnacentral:rRNA from 1 species